rnacentral:rRNA from 1 species
AUUGAACGCUGGCGGCAGGCCUAACACAUGCAAGUCGAGCGGAUGACGGGAGCUUGCUCCUUGAUUCAGCGGCGGACGGGUGAGUAAUGCCUAGGAAUCUGCCUGGUAGUGGGGGACAACGUUUCGAAAGGAACGCUAAUACCGCAUACGUCCUACGGGAGAACGCAGGGGACCUUCGGGCCUUGCGCUCUCAGAUGAGCCUAGGUCGGAUUAGCUAGUUGGUGGGGUAAUGGCUCACCAAGGCGACGAUCCGUAACUGGUCUGAGAGGAUGAUCAGUCACACUGGAACUGAGACACGGUCCAGACUCCUACGGGAGGCAGCAGUGGGGAAUAUUGGACAAUGGGCGAAAGCCUGAUCCAGCCAUGCCGCGUGUGUGAAGAAGGUCUUCGGAUUGUAAAGCACUUUAAGUUGGGAGGAAGGGCAGUAAGCUAAUACCUUGCUGUUUUGACGUUACCGACAGAAUAAGCACCGGCUAACUCUGUGCCAGCAGCCGCCGUAA